rnacentral:rRNA from 1 species
CAGCCGCCGCGGGAAUACGGAGGAUCCAAGCGUUAUCCGGAAUCAUUGGGUUUAAAGGGUCCGUAGGCGGUCUUGUAAGUCAGUGGUGAAAGCCCAUCGCUCAACGGUGGAACGGCCAUUGAUACUGCAGGACUUGAAUUAUUGGGAAGUAACUAGAAUAUGUAGUGUAGCGGUGAAAUGCUUAGAGAUUACAUGGAAUACCAAUUGCGAAGGCAGGUUACUACCAAUUGAUUGACGCUGAUGGACGAAAGCGUUGGUAGCGAACAGGAUUAGAUACCCCCGUAGUCCCUGUCUCUUAUAC